CCAAUAGCGUAUAUUAAAGUUGUUGCAGUUAAAAAGCUCGUAGUUGAAUUUCGAGAUCAAAUUGUUGGUCGUGCCUUGGUACGUACUGGCAUUAUUGGUUUCUCCCUUCUGACGAACCAAGAUGUCAUUAAUUUGGUGUCUUGGGGAAUCAGGACUGUUACCUUGAAAAAAUUAGAGUGUUUAAAGCAGGCUCGCGCUUGAAUACAUUAGCAUGGAAUAAUGAAAUAGGAGGUUUGAUUCUAUUUUGUUGGUUUUUAGGAUCGACGUAAUGAUUAAUAGGGAUAGUUGGGGGCAUUAGUAUUAAAUUGUCAGAGGUGAAAUUCUUGGAUUUAUUGAAGACUAACUACUGCGAAAGCAUUUGCCAAGAAUGUUUUCAUUAAUAAAGAACGAAAGUUAGGGGAUCGAAGACGAUCAGAUACCGUCGUAGUCUUAACCAUAAACUAUGCCGACUAGGGAUCGGAUGAUGUUAAUUUUUUAAUGACUCAUUCGGCGCCUUACG
rnacentral:rRNA from 1 species